UUGUGAGGCAUCUCCGGGUAGGGCGCCGGCCUAAGUUCCUUGGAACAGGACGUCAUAGAGGGUGAGAAUCCCGUGCUUGGCUGGCUGUCCCCGUCCAUGUGAGGUGUCUUCGACGAGUCGAGUUGUUUGGGAAUGCAGCUCAAAAUGGGUGGUAAAUUUCAUCUAAAGCUAAAUAUUGGUGGGAGACCGAUAGCGCACAAGUAGAGUGAUCGAAAGAUGAAAAGCACUUUGAAAAUAGAGUUAAAAAGUACGUGAAAUUGUUGAAAGGGAAGCGCUUGAGACCAGACUUCGGUGGGGGGUGAUCAGCUGUCCUUCUGGGCGGUGCACUUGCUCCCCUCCGGGCCAGCAUCGGUUGGGGCGGCGGGAUAAAGAUCCCGGGAAUGUGGCUCCUUUCGGGGAGUGUUAUAGCCCGGGUGAAUGCCGCCAGCUCCGACCGAGGACCGCGCCUUCGGGCUAGGAUGCUUGGCAUAAUGGUCUUCAGCGAC
rnacentral:rRNA from 1 species